CGUGGGGCAGGAACAGCAUCGAAGUCCAAGAAACUGUCAAAAUUCAACCUGCCGAACGCUAUCACCCAUCCACCUACUUUCCGCAUCCAGCUUUGCUCUUCACCAUAUUUGUGAUCAGUGCGAGGCAGUUGUGCCCUGUCCGAGAACUUCCGUUGACUGAUCGACUGAAGAACGCACCUGGCGUAAGUGCAGAAGUCCUCUUACAGAAAUAAAUUUUAUUUACUACUGGCAAUUUUUAUUUCAUGCUUAACGACUCGAAUUAAAUGUACAAAACUAUA